rnacentral:rRNA from 1 species
GAUGAACGCUGGCGGCGUGCCUAAUACAUGCAAGUCGAGCGAACAGAUAAGGAGCUUGCUCCUCUGACGUUAGCGGCGGACGGGUGAGUAACACGUGGGUAACCUACCUAUAAGACUGGGAUAACUUCGGGAAACCGGAGCUAAUACCGGAUAAUAUUUCGAACCGCAUGGUUCGAUAGUGAAAGAUGGUUUUGCUAUCACUUAUAGAUGGACCCGCGCCGUAUUAGCUAGUUGGUAAGGUAACGGCUUACCAAGGCGACGAUACGUAGCCGACCUGAGAGGGUGAUCGGCCACACUGGAACUGAGACACGGUCCAGACUCCUACGGGAGGCAGCAGUAGGGAAUCUUCCGCAAUGGGCGAAAGCCUGACGGAGCAACGCCGCGUGAGUGAUGAAGGUCUUCGGAUCGUAAAACUCUGUUAUUAGGGAAGGACAUACGUGUAAGUAACUGUGCACGUCUUGACGGUACCUAAUCAGAAAGCCACGGCUAACUACGUG